AUGAUAAAACUGAAGGAGCUAAUGAGAGAUAUCGUUGUGAAGAAACACUUUGGAGAAACUAUAGCAAAGGCAAAUACAAAAUCACCAUGCAUGAUAGACAACAUAUGUACUAAACACUUCCCAAAACGGUACAAUAUCGAUACGACAAUCGAUGAGGAUGGGUUUCCAGUAUAUAGAAGGCGAGACAAUGGAAGGAAUAUCAAAAAGGGAGGAGCAAUGCUCGAUAACAGAUUUGUUGUGCCAUACAACAGAAACCUUUUGGUCAAAUUCCAAGCUCACAUAAAUGUGGAGUGGUGCAACAGGUCCAGGUCAAUCAAGUACCUAUUUAAGUACAUCCAUAAAGAUGACGACCAAGUAACAGCCUUACUAAAGGAAAGGGACGCAACAAACGACUAUGAUGAAAUCAAGAAAUACCUAGAGAUGAGAUACAUAUCAACAACCGAAGCAUGCUGGCGGAUAUUCUAG
rnacentral:rRNA from 1 species